ACAGGAAGCAUGAUCUCCACUGCUUGAGGGAUCAGGAAGCCUGAAUCGGUUGGACUGAAGCUCUGUACUCAAACAAGAACUCAUCACCAUAUAUUUUAGCUGAAGACAAACAAAAUUGGUUUCCACUAGAGAUAGUUUAACAGGUCAGAGAUGCCACAAGGGAACAAACAGGUGACCCAUCUUCAGUACACACACCACCGGGGAGAAGGAGGGUGGAGGCCUGAUAACAGAGACUGCGACUAUGCUUCUGUGUGCUCCCAGGGAGACUUAGACCAACACGACCAAGCAGAAGGUUACACAAGCUUGUCCUUCGCAUAAUGGUGAUGCGCUGUCAUGAUGGACCGGCCCGCUUAUGCGUCUUGCGCAAGUCUUGUCUAGUCUCCACAGUUCUACAGUUUAAGUCUCGUGGGAGACACCGGCGGGAAUUAAAAUAAAAUCAAAUCAAAUGUUUAUUCAGGUAAAGUAUAUACAUACAAGGUGAGAUACAAAACAUUGAUGGCUUUAUAGAUAGAGCUAGUACAUACAUUGAUGGCUUUAUAGUUAGAGCUAGUAUAUACAAUGUCUAAAGCCACUAUUACGCAAAGCGUUUCGAGCAGCGGUAAUUUGUCGCCGCUGUGGCCAGGAGGUUUGUCGAUUUGCCGUUUUCUAUUCGUUGGUCCUCGGGUAGGUUAGGUUGGGCCAAUUUAGUACAUCAUUUUAGUGACGUCGUGAACGUUUGAGAAGACUGGUUGCUUAGGCUGUAUUCUGCUUCUCUGUUUAUAUAGAGUGAGAUUAUAUACAUUGCCUGUAUAUACUCUAAGUUAGUGCUGGACCAUGUUAAGGAUUAGAGUAAAUUGGUUGGACAGUGAGCAGUUGUGGUAGCCUUAAUGGCACUCAGGGAGUUGAUAGGUGUUUAGUUCAACACAAAGGAAUGGCUGCGAUUUAUCAAUGUCCUCUCGGCCACUUCUCUGAUAUUCCCACCAAGACUGAUGCGAGGACAUGAGCGUCAGACGGCUGGCAGCCUACACACCCAGAGACAAUUAACCUAACAAGACCCGACCAUGGACAGGCUACAUCAGAAAAGGACGGCACAAAUCAAGCAAUCACACAUUAAGGGGCUCAAACAACUAAAUUGCAAGGGAGGAGGCGAGGCAGAGCUAAGGGUAUGUUGCAUGCGGGUGUCGGGUGUUGCUCCUCUGUCCCUUCUCGUCUUGUUGUAACAUCCACGGCACUCCCUUGUGCAACACCAUCCACAUGUAUCAGGUUGGUGUUGCUCCCGCAUUCCCAUAACAAUCACUAGUCGCAACUACAAUCACUAUGUAGUCGCAACACCCUACUUCAGUCCCUACACUGCCUUACGCAACACCCUACUUCAGUCCCUACACUGCCUUACACAACACCCUACUCCAGCCGCUACACUGCCUUACGCAACACCCUACUCCAGUCGCUACACUGCCUUACGCAACACUCUACUCCAGUCGCUACUCUUCUGUACUGGGGAAUAAAUUUCAUAAUUAUCCUAUUAUGGCAAGCCUUUUUGCUGAGUCCCAUGAUAACGCCCUUUUACCCUGGUGCAGCAGAGAUGUGACACAUAAGGUCUGCAGAAUGUAUGAUGUGCAAAACUACACAUAUUAGACCUAUAUUGGCACUAUAUGUUGCGAUAAUUCUGAUUGGCAGGUGGCAUUGUUUAUGUGGGGAAUGAUGCUCAUAUUGUAGCCCCAAUUUCCACUCAUUCGUUUUAACUAAUAUAUAGUUGUUUCUGUUAUUUGUUUAGUGACUGAAACAAUUACUUCAGUAACUGUUAUAUACACCAAGCCCUGUACCCCUGUUCUGGGUGUAUAUACACUGACAGUAUACUUUAGUCGUGGACUCUGAACAGGACUAAAAUAUGGCCUUAGUAAGUCUCGCGGCUGAUGGACCUCAAGCCUAAUACUGUACCAAAUUUUCAGUAAUAUUAAUAGGUCGUUGGUUUUUCUCGUCAAUAACUCAAAUGCUGAAGCAGUAUUUACCUACGGUUUUAACAUAAAUAUGUCCCAAUUUGGUUUCCUGUGGUCAGCGACAGGUAACCUGUGAUAUCGAGGAAUAUCACAGGUUAUAGGGAUAUCGAGGUUUCCCUUGCUAAAGGACUGGCGUUCCUCAGGAUGCAACCUACAACAGUUGCCUAACUCCCCAGUACCUAUUGUACAGCUAGACAAACCGAGGGAUCUGGUAUACGGACAGUGCCUGGGUUAAAGAGCAACUACGCAGUGGCAGAGGCUACCAGAGUGUCAAGUCAUCAGUGAGGGUGUGGGAGCAGCUGGUAUUAUUGGGCAAGUGUGGUUCAUGCGGGCUGCUGCUGCUAGGUCCUAGCUCCUAGCUCUCUCCCUCAUUGGUCAACUCGGGCAGUGGGACAUGUGUGAUGCUGGUGUGAUAAUCAACCUCACUUGUCGCGGUUUACACAACAAUUGUUUUUAAAUUAGAGCGCUAGGGUAUUUUAUUGAAAUAUAUUCAAUUUUCGGGAUAUACAUGCAUUAGAUCAGCCAUCUUCCUCAAUACUUUGUAGCUGGUUUAUAUAUAUACUAAUUUAGCAUAAUAUAUCCAGUGAAAUAUAUCCCCACAAGGAAGCAAAUUACAGUUCCACUAUAUUUUACGUCAGUCACUCACCUCACAAACUUUCCACCCAGAGGAGUCAUCAGUCUCCAUCACAGAUGUACUCAACUCACCUCCCCCAGUGAUACUGCCUCCUGGUUCUUAACUAAGAAUAUUAUACUCUAUCUUUCUGGUGAAGAUCACAGUCAGAGCUGAAGUGAAUACAAUAUGA